GUAUGACAACGAAUGGGGCUACAGGUAAUUUGCAUUUCCAGGGCUAUUCAGUUUCUUAGUAUCAUACAGGUUGGGGUGGAGUAUUUUGAAGGUCCUAUCGUCAACAAGCUCUUUGAUCUCUUACUGAUUUUGAAUGUUCAUUUCUAUGUCUGCCAGCUCACGUGUGAUCGAUUUGAUCCGCCACAUAGCCUCUACCCAAUAAGCAGCUCAAUAUUUAGGACAUUUCACAUGAUGUGGACCUCCUCCUUUCCGGCUUAGUAUGCAGUUUAGUAUGAAUGCAGAAGAGGUGUUUUGGGAAUAAUUGUGCUAAGGAACGUUUUAUUGUUGGGACUAGCUUUAUACAUCAUGUGGCUUGAUUUGAGCUUUGUAAUAGGGGUUUGCGUUUCCCCUGUUUAUCCCUUAUAAUUGGAAUUGGAAAAUUAAUACAAUUAUCUCAAUUUAUUUAUUUUUGCCUUUGGCUUCCUAUUUGAGUGUGAAUUGUUAAGAUAUAUACCAUAAAAAGCUAGGAUAUGUGUAUUUAUAGU
rnacentral:misc_RNA from 1 species